ACACCAAGGAAUGCUGCUGAGCAAGAUAUUUUAGAUGCUAUUGUAUCAAAUCUGACUUCUGGCAGUGAUAGAAAAAUGCCCACCAUCUCAACCUGUCCCUGGCAAUAAUCUUUCAAGGACAGUCAGUGAAGCAAAGCAAGAACUUGAUGCUUGAGAUGCGGCAUGGAAAGCUUCGUUACCCAGAACAUAUUUUGUCAUUCAGCUUCUCCUAAAUUCUAAUUCUCUGUAUUCCCUUCUCUUGAACAUCCUCUGUGUCCUACCACCAUUUGUCCCUGGAUAUCUAUGGAGAUUCUCAGAAUUAUUCUUCAGGAUCCCCUGAAUCCUCCAGAGCAGAUUUGGAGUGCGGUGCGAAGCGAAGAGAGUCAGAAGCCAGCCAAUAUGAGAGACAGGCAGAAGUGCUCUAUCAGCAGACAGUCAUGUGUCUAUAUGAUUUGCUGGCAAAGGUAGGAUUUGACAAGUGGGACAACUUAUAAAUAUAAAAUUAAAUACAUUUUUGUGAUUGUUUAUUAAUAUGUCUAUUUAUCAGGAGGCCAGGAAAGUAAUGCAGUGCACCCAUUAGUUCUCGAAACCGGAUGAAUUAUCUUGUGAAAUCAGAGUUCAGAAGCAUAGAAUACCUGGUUGAAUAAAUCCAUGGAACUGUAAAGAAACAUCACACAGGAAUCAAACUAACCUUGAUGCUAAUUCACUAGCACAUGGCUUGAGAUAGCCUGUCACCACUUAAUGAAUCAAACACAAAGCAACUUGGAUUUUGUCCAAGAGUAAAGCAAUGUGUUAUUGAAAACGCCUUUCCAAAGGUGACUGAUAAAUGGACACUGUUAUUGUUAAUUUCUCGGUUACUCUGAAAUACCUGUCAACAGCUCAAGGUUCCUUAUUU